UAGCCGUAAACGAUACUCGCUAGGUGUCGGCCACGGUGCGACCGUUGUCGGUGCCGUAGGGAAGCCGUGAAGCGAGCCACCUGGGAAGUACGGCCGCAAGGCUGAAACUUAAAGGAAUUGGCGGGGGAGCACAACAACGGGUGGAGCUUGCGGUUUAAUUGGAUUCAACGCCGGAAAUCUUACCGGGACCGACAGCAACAUGAAGGCCAAGCUGAAGACUUUGCCGGAUUAGCUGAGAGGUGGUGCAUGGCGUGUGACUGU
rnacentral:rRNA from 1 species